rnacentral:rRNA from 1 species
AGUGAACGCUGGCGGUAGGCCUAACACAUGCAAGUCGAACGGCAGCACAGUAAGAGCUUGCUCUUACGGGUGGCGAGUGGCGGACGGGUGAGGAAUACAUCGGAAUCUACUUUUUCGUGGGGGAUAACGUAGGGAAACUUACGCUAAUACCGCAUACGACCUACGGGUGAAAGCAGGGGAUCUUCGGACCUUGCGCGAUUGAAUGAGCCGAUGUCGGAUUAGCUAGUUGGCGGGGUAAAGGCCCACCAAGGCGACGAUCCGUAGCUGGUCUGAGAGGAUGAUCGGCGACAUUGGAAGUGAGACAGGGUCCAGACUCCUACGGGAGGCAGCAGUGGGGAAUAUUGGACAAUGGGCGGAAGCCUGAUCCAGCCAUACCGCGUGGGUGAAGAAGGCCUUCGGGUUGUAAAGCCCUUUUGUUGGGAAAGAAAAGCAGCAGGUUAAUACCACGCUGUUCUGACGGUACCCAAAGAAUAAGCACCGGCUAACUUCGUG